AGAAUAAGUAGUAAGCCUUCCACUCAUUGAAGUCUCACACUCCAACACAGUAGGUGGCGGUAAUGCACCUCAAGCUGGUUUGCCACCCGCCAUUAAACGAAAAAGAAGAAGAAGAAGGAGCAGCACGCCACGAGGUUUUGCUCAGACUUUUGGGACGUUUGGAGUUGCUCCAUCUCGUAACCAUGUAACACAUACAGCAGUUGGUGACCGAUCGGGUUCCUAGACCCAUCUCACAGACACUGAGCACCCCACGGAUGAAAGAACAUCACCCGCUGGAGCACCCCUUUGGAUCUUGCACUCAUGCACCUUUGUAAAUAAAUCCACCCUCUGGGAUCUAAACUUUAA